rnacentral:rRNA from 1 species
GACGAACGCUGGCGGCGUGCUUAACACAUGCAAGUCGAACGGUAAGGCCCUUCGGGGUACACGAGUGGCGAACGGGUGAGUAACACGUGGGUGAUCUGCCCUGCACUUCGGGAUAAGCCUGGGAAACUGGGUCUAAUACCGGAUAGGACCACUGCCUGCAUGGGUGGUGGUGGAAAGCUUUUGCGGUGUGGGAUGGGCCCGCGGCCUAUCAGCUUGUUGGUGGGGUGAUGGCCUACCAAGGCGACGACGGGUAGCCGGCCGGAGAGGGUGACCGUCCACACUGGGACUGAGAUCCGGCCCAGACUCCUACGGGAGGCAGCAGUGGGGAAUAUUGCACAAUGGGCGCAAGCCUGAUGCAGCGACGCCGCGUGAGGGAUGACGUCCUUCGGGUUGUAAACCUCUUUCAGCACCGACGAAGCGCAAGUGACGGUAGGUGCAGAAGAAGGACCGGCCAACUACGUGCCAGCAGCCGCCGUAA